CAUGUUACAGAUGAGGAAACAGAAGCACAGAAAGGAGAUUGACUUUGUCAAACACAUACAUCUAAGCUAGAAUUUUAAAAAGGGACCAGAGGCACAUGAAAUUAUUAUGGGAAAAAAAUGGAUAUGUUCUUCUGAGAAGCAAUGAAAACCUCACAUUCUUUUUUUCCAGAACUAGUGAAUGUGAAGACAAUCUCAUGAGUGGAGUAAAGAUUACAAUUUUUUAAAAUCUCUCUUUGCCUUUCAUGCUUCUCUUUUGUAAGACUUGAGGCAAUGAGCACCUCCUACUUUACAGGCAAGUUACUUGAAGAGUGAAGAGGAUUUUAAGUGGUGUCAAUGACAAGGAACAAGGAGCUUGCUGUUUUAUGGAAAGCUGCAAAGGGCUCCCUAUGGUUUCCACAUUGUCCCACUCCAUUCACCAAAGAGAGGAGACAGACAUGAAAGAAGCAUUUGUCAAGGAAACAAAAUGAUAGCUGCAACUUCGUGAUUAGUGGUGAACUUACUGAUUCUUUGUCAAAUGAGGAGAGGAAAAAGGAAGGAGGGAGUCAAGAAGGAAAGGGAGCCUGGAGCAUUACAAAAGACCAAGAAGCAGUGGGCACGUUGCACAUCGCAAGAUCAUCCUGGAAGGAGUGUGGAGAACGACCUGAGGGAACCAGUGUCCAACAGGCAACCUUUUAUAUAUGUGACAAAAGUUAUUUAAAUACUUUGAG